AGUACACCAUCCUCGUCCUCCGAGCAGGAGAGUAUAACAUCUGAUGCCGCCCUGCCGGAGAGUACACCACCUGCGUCCUCCAAGCAGGAGAGUAUAACACCUGACGCUGCCCUGCCAGAGAG